rnacentral:tRNA from 1 species
GUAGGUAUAGCUCAAGUGGAACAGCGCAUGCUUAGCAUGCAUAAGGUCCUGGGUUCAAUCCCCAGUACCUCCA